rnacentral:lncRNA from 1 species
AGGAACAACAAUAGGGGAAGGAGAAGGAGAAGGAGAACAGAUAGAACUGUGUUGACACUCAAACACAAAUACUGCUGAACACUUACAUUAUGCAAAAGUCACAACAAAGCUUCUCACGGACACUGCACUAAGAAGCGAACUCUCCAAAAAGCUGGGAUAUGUGAAAAAUCAGUCAGCAACAUAACCUUCCUCUAAAACAACAAGCAAUCUGGCACAAAUGAAGUGUGAAUCUCCUGGGGUGCAGAGGCAUGACCUUUGGAAAUUAAGGAAUUCCUGCAAAGCCUGUUGUCUGUUUUUCGGGACAUCAUUAAUAGGAAUUAUAUGGAGCCAUUUCUGUGUAUUCUGUGGGCCCAAGAUGUGUGCCAAAGGAGCCUAGGUGUAUGAGGCUUUUACACAAUCAUACUUAUACUUGCAUGGUGCAGCUUCUCUAUGCUAGCCUAACUGCACAUUAACUUGUUAAUCUGUUCCCCAGACUCUGUUUACUGAAAGGAUACUUGCUAGACCAGUUGUGCUUCAGACUCCAGGACAAGGAUGUGAACUUUAGUUUAUCCAUUCUGUUCCUUCCUGUUAUUUUGGGCAAUUUGUAGGAAUCAUUUUUUUGUCUCAAACACUUCACAAA